rnacentral:rRNA from 1 species
ACGUAGGGUGCGAGCGUUAAUCGGAAUUACUGGGCGUAAAGCGUGCGCAGGCGGUUUUGUAAGUCAGAUGUGAAAUCCCCGGGCUUAACCUGGGAACUGCGUUUGAAACUACAAGGCUAGAGUGUGGCAGAGGGGGGUGGAAUUCCACGUGUAGCAGUGAAAUGCGUAGAGAUGUGGAGGAACACCGAUGGCGAAGGCAGCCCCCUGGGCUAACACUGACGCUCAUGCACGAAAGCGUGGGGAGCAAACAGG